ensembl:snoRNA small nucleolar RNA U109
CUGCAUGUUUGUACUCUGGGUUUGUCUCUCUUGAUUUCUGUGGAGAUGACAAGUUAAACAACAUGCUAAAGUAACACUUGAGGAGUUAACAGGGCCACCAGUCUCUCAAGGUCAGACUGAGUGGUAGUAUAAUACUCCGACACUA